rnacentral:sRNA from 1 species
GUGUGUGUGAGGAGAGAAAUUUAGAGAAGACACCGAGACGAAACACGGCCAGUCGUCGGUGUCUUUUCUUAU